rnacentral:lncRNA from 1 species
CUGGCGGCGCUGGCGUGGGUGCCCGGCGGGGCGCCCGCCUGCCCCGCGCUCUGCACCUGCUACGUCUCGCCGCCCACCGUCAGCUGCCAGGCCAACAACUUCUCCGCGGUGCCCGCGGGGCUGCCGCCCGGCGCCCGCCGCCUCUUCCUGCAGAACAACGUCAUCAGGGCGCUGCGGGCCGGCACCUUCGGGCCCAGCACCGUCACCCUCUGGCUCUACUCCAACAACAUCUCCUCCAUCCAGCCGGGCACCUUCCGCCACCUGCCCGCCCUCGAGGAGCUCGACCUGGGCGACAACCCUCACCUCCGGGUCCUGGCGCCCGACACCUUCCACGGCCUCCGGCGCCUCCAGGCCCUGCACCUCUACCGGUGCCAGCUGGCCAGCCUGCCCAGCGCCAUCUUCCGCGGCCUCCACAGCCUCCAGUACCUCUACCUGCAGGAGAACGGGCUGCUCUACCUCCAGGUGCGGGCACGGCCGUGGGGCGAGGGUGCUGGGGGCACCCAUGGAGCAUGCGGUAGAGCUGCCCGUGGGGCUGGGUGCUGAGAUCUAAGGGAGCCUCCAGGCUGGGGAGCAGGGUGCACAGGGCAGGGAUGCUGGAGGUGGCUGUGGGGCAAGGACGAGGUGGCAGGGGGAUGCCCAUGGGGCAGGGUGAUGAGGGAUGCCAUGGGGCCAGGGCAGGGUGAUGGGUGUGGGGGAGGUCCCCUUUGGGGCAGGUCACAUGGGGCAGGAUGAUGAGGGAUGCCCAUGGAGCAAUGGUAAGGUGCCAGGGGGACGUCCAUGGGGCAGGGGCAAAAUGACAGGGGGACACCCAUGAGGCAGGGUGCACAGGGCAGGGAUGCAAGAGGACACCCAUAGGACAGGGAUGCAGGAGAACACCCACAGGACAGGGUGCACAGCGCAGGGAUGCAGGUGGACACCCAUGGGGCAGGGAGGCAGGAGGACACCCAUGGGGCAGGGUGCACAGGGCAGGGAUGCAGGGAGACACCCACGGGGUAGGGAUGCAGGAGGACCCCCAUGGGGCGGGAUGCAGAGGACACCCACGGGCCAGGGUGCACAGGGUAGGGAUGCAGGGAGACACCCACGGGGUAGGGAUGCAGGAGGACCCCCA